GAUAAUUUUAGCCUAGUGGUUAAGGCGUCUGACUUUGGAUCGGAAGAUUGAGGGUUUGAGUCUCUUCGUGGUGG